rnacentral:rRNA from 1 species
CGAUUGAACGCUGGCGGAAUGCUUUACACAUGCAAGUCGAACGGCAGCACGGGGCAACCUGGUGGCGAGUGGCGAACGGGUGAGUAAUACAUCGGAACGUGCCCAAGUCGUGGGGGAUAACGUAGCGAAAGUUACGCUAAUACCGCAUACGAUCUACGGAUGAAAGCGGGGGAUCGCAAGACCUCGCGCGAAUGGAGCGGCCGAUGGUCAGAUUAGGUAGUUGGUCGGGGUAAAGGCUCACCAAGCCGACGAUCUGUAGCUGGUCUGAGAGGACGACCAGCCACACUGGGACUGAGACACGGCCCAGACUCCUACGGGAGGCAGCAGUGGGGAAUUUUGGACAAUGGGCGCAAGCCUGAUCCAGCCAUUCCGCGUGCAGGAUGAAGGCCUUCGGGUUGUAAACUGCUUUUGUACGGAACGAAAAGGCUCUGGUUAAUACCUGGAGUUUAUGACGGUACCGUAAGAAUAAGCACCGGCUAACUACGUG